rnacentral:rRNA from 13 species
AUGAUUUGUGGUUAGGGGUGAAAGGCCAAUCAAACUUAGAGAUAGCUGGUUUUCUGCGAAAUCUAUUUAAGUAGAGCGUUUAAAAUUCGUUAUUUUAAGGUAGAGCACUCGAUAAAUAAAGGGGGCGUAAAGUCUUACUGCAUUUAAUGAAACUCCGAAUAUAAAAUUAACAAGAUUUUAAACAGACAGACUAUGAGUGCUAAGAUUCAUAGUCAAAAGGGAAACAGCCCAAAUUAUUUGUUAAGGCCCUCAAAAGUAAUUAAGUGAAAAAGAUAGUAAAAAAAUUUUAACAGCUUAUAGGUAGGCUUGGAAGCAGCCAUCCUUUCAAGAAAGCGUAACAACUCAUUGGUUUAGUUUUUUAGCGUUGAAAAUGUAUAGGGACUAAAAUUACUUGCCGAAACAAUAAAUUCAAGCUAAUAACAUAGCUUGAAUGGUAGCAGAACGUUUUGUAUAUUUAAGAAGAUUUAUAGUUAUAUAGGUUGGAAAAAUCAAAACUGAAAAUAUUGAUAUGAGUAGCGAUAAACGUUGUAGUGAAAAGUAAACUACGUCACCUUAAGUUCAAGGUUUAUAAGGAAAGGCUAAUCCUCCUUAUGUUAAUCGGUCCCUAAGAUAAUAACGAAAGUGCUAAUUGAUGGGUAAUAACUUUUUAUUAUAUUGUAAAGUGACAAAAUAUGAAUUUGAUUUUUAUUAUGAUUAAAAGUCUUUUAGUAUUUUCAAGAAAUAGCUUAUAAUAAUACCGUACUGUAAACCGACACAGGUGAACAAAUUUAGUAAAUUAAGGUGCUUGAGUUAAUUGUAUUGAAGGAACUCGGCAAAAUGACUCCGUAACUUCGGGAGAAGGAGUAGCUUUUCAAGGUUAACACCUCAAAAAGCUGUCACAAAAUCGAGGACAGCGACUGUUUAAUAAAAACACAGGUCUCUGCAAAUUUGAAAAAAGAAGUAUAGAGACUGACGCCUGCCCGGUGCUGCAAGCUUAAUAGAAAAAGUCUUGGCUUUGACUGUAACCCCCAGUAAACGGCGGCUGUAACUCUGACGGUCCAAAGGUAGCGAAAUUCCUUGGCAUUUAAUUGGUGUCCUGCAUGAAUGGCGUAACGACUGUCCUACUGUCUCCAAUGCAAGCUCAGUGAAAUUGAAAUGUCUGUGAAGAUGCAGACUACUCCCGGCUAGACGGAAAGACCCUGUGCACCUUUACUACAAUUAUAAAUUGUAAUAGAAUUUUUUUUGUGUAGUAUACGUGGUAAGUUUUAAUCAAACCGUAACACAAGUUAUUUGUUUAAACUUAAGUGAAAUACCACUCUUAAAAACUUUUGUUACUCAUACUUUCAAAACAGUUUAUAAUGGGUAGUUUGACUGGGGCGGUCGCCUCCUAAAGCGUAACGGAGGCGCGCGAAGGUUGGCUCAGAGCGGUCGGAAAUCGCUCGUUGAGUGCAAUGGCAGAAGCCAGCCUGACUGCAAGACUGACAAGUCGAGCAGAGUCGAAAGACGGCCAUAGUGAUCCGGUGGUCCCGAGUGGAAGGGCCAUCGCUCAACGGAUAAAAGGUACUCCGGGGAUAACAGGCUGAUGAUGCCCAAGAGUCCAUAUCGACGGCAUCGUUUGGCACCUCGAUGUCGGCUCAUCACAUCCUGGGGCUGAAGUAGGUCCCAAGGGUUCGGCUGUUCGCCGAUUAAAGUGGUACGUGAGCUGGGUUCAGAACGUCGUGAGACAGUUUGGUCCCUAUCUGCCGUGGGUGUUGGAAACUUGAGAGGAUCUGUCCUUAGUACGAGAGGACCGGGAUGGACAUACCUCUGGUGGACCUGUUGUGGCGCCAGCCGCAUUGCAGGGUAGCUAUGUAUGGACGGGAUAACCGCUGAAUGCAUCUAAGCGGGAAACCCACCUCAAAACCAGGUUUCCCUUGAGAGCCGUUCUAGACUAGGACGUCGAUAGGCCAGGUGUGGAAGCGCUGCGAGGCGUGGAGCUUACUGGUACUAAUUGCUCGAUUGGCUUGAUC